rnacentral:rRNA from 2 species
GGGUUGUGAGGUUAAGCGACUAAGCGUACACGGUGGAUGCCCUGGCAGUCAGAGGCGAUGAAGGACGUGCUAAUCUGCGAAAAGCGUCGGUAAGGUGAUAUGAACCGUUAUAACCGGCGAUGUCCGAAUGGGGAAACCCAGUGCAAUUCGUUGCACUAUCGUUAACUGAAUACAUAGGUUAACGAGGCGAACCGGGGGAACUGAAACAUCUAAGUACCCCGAGGAAAAGAAAUCAACCGAGAUUCCCCCAGUAGCGGCGAGCGAACGGGGAGCAGCCCAGAGUCUGAAUCAGCUUGUGUGUUAGUGGAACGGUCUGGAAAGUCCGACGGUACAGGGUGAUAGUCCCGUACACCAAAAUGCACAGGCUGUGAACUCGAAGAGUAGGGCGGGACACGUGGUAUCCUGUCUGAAUAUGGGGGGACCAUCCUCCAAGGCUAAAUACUCCUGACUGACCGAUAGUGAACCAGUACCGUGAGGGAAAGGCGAAAAGAACCCCGGCGAGGGGAGUGAAAAAGAACCUGAAACCGUGUACGUACAAGCAGUGGGAGCACCUUCGGGUGUGACUGCGUACCUUUUGUAUAAUGGGUCAGCGACUUAUAUUCUGUAGCAAGGUUAACCGUAUAGGGGAGCCGCAGGGAAACCGAGUCUUAACUGGGCGUUAAGUUGCAGGGUAUAGACCCGAAACCCGGUGAUCUAGCCAUGGGCAGGUUGAAGGUUGGGUAACACUAACUGGAGGACCGAACCGACUAAUGUUGAAAAAUUAGCGGAUGACUUGUGGCUGGGGGUGAAAGGCCAAUCAAACCGGGAGAUAGCUGGUUCUCCCCGAAAGCUAUUUAGGUAGCGCCUCGUGAAUUCAUCUUCGGGGGUAGAGCACUGUUUCGGCUAGGGGGUCAUCCCGACUUACCAACCCGAUGCAAACUACGAAUACCGAAGAAUGUUAUCACGGGAGACACACGGCGGGUGCUAACGUCCGUCGUGAAGAGGGAAACAACCCAGACCGCCAGCUAAGGUCCCAAAGUCAUGGUUAAGUGGGAAACGAUGUGGGAAGGCACAGACAGCCAGGAUGUUGGCUUAGAAGCAGCCAUCAUUUAAAGAAAGCGUAAUAGCUCACUGGUCGAGUCGGCCUGCGCGGAAGAUGUAACGGGGCUAAACCAUGCACCGAAGCUGCGGCAGCGACACUAUGUGUUGUUGGGUAGGGGAGCGUUCUGUAAGCCUGCGAAGGUGUGCUGUGAGGCAUGCUGGAGGUAUCAGAAGUGCGAAUGCUGACAUAAGUAACGAUAAAGCGGGUGAAAAGCCCGCUCGCCGGAAGACCAAGGGUUCCUGUCCAACGUUAAUCGGGGCAGGGUGAGUCGACCCCUAAGGCGAGGCCGAAAGGCGUAGUCGAUGGGAAACAGGUUAAUAUUCCUGUACUUGGUGUUACUGCGAAGGGGGGACGGAGAAGGCUAUGUUAGCCGGGCGACGGUUGUCCCGGUUUAAGCAUGUAGGCUGAUUGUCCAGGCAAAUCCGGAUAAUCAAGGCUGAGGUGUGAUGACGAGGCACUACGGUGCUGAAGUAACAAAUGCCCUGCUUCCAGGAAAAGCCUCUAAGCAUCAGGUAACAUUAAAUCGUACCCCAAACCGACACAGGUGGUCAGGUAGAGAAUACCAAGGCGCUUGAGAGAACUCGGGUGAAGGAACUAGGCAAAAUGGUGCCGUAACUUCGGGAGAAGGCACGCUGGUGUGUAGGUGAAGUCCCUGCGGAUGGAGCUGAGACCAGUCGAAGAUACCAGCUGGCUGCAACUGUUUAUUAAAAACACAGCACUGUGCAAACACGAAAGUGGACGUAUACGGUGUGACGCCUGCCCGGUGCCGGAAGGUUAAUUGAUGGGGUUAUCCGUAAGGAGAAGCUCUUGAUCGAAGCCCCGGUAAACGGCGGCCGUAACUAUAACGGUCCUAAGGUAGCGAAAUUCCUUGUCGGGUAAGUUCCGACCUGCACGAAUGGCGUAAUGAUGGCCAGGCUGUCUCCACCCGAGACUCAGUGAAAUUGAACUCGCUGUGAAGAUGCAGUGUACCCGCGGCAAGACGGAAAGACCCCGUGAACCUUUACUAUAGCUUGACACUGAACAUUGAGCCUUGAUGUGUAGGAUAGGUGGGAGGCUUUGAAGCGUGGACGCCAGUCUGCGUGGAGCCAACCUUGAAAUACCACCCUUUAAUGUUUGAUGUUCUAACGUUGGCCCCUGACCGGGGUUGCGGACAGUGUCUGGUGGGUAGUUUGACUGGGGCGGUCUCCUCCCAAAGCGUAACGGAGGAGCACGAAGGUUAGCUAAUCCUGGUCGGACAUCAGGAGGUUAGUGCAAUGGCAUAAGCUAGCUUGACUGCGAGCGUGACGGCGCGAGCAGGUGCGAAAGCAGGUCAUAGUGAUCCGGUGGUUCUGAAUGGAAGGGCCAUCGCUCAACGGAUAAAAGGUACUCCGGGGAUAACAGGCUGAUACCGCCCAAGAGUUCAUAUCGACGGCGGUGUUUGGCACCUCGAUGUCGGCUCAUCACAUCCUGGGGCUGAAGUAGGUCCCAAGGGUAUGGCUGUUCGCCAUUUAAAGUGGUACGCGAGCUGGGUUUAGAACGUCGUGAGACAGUUCGGUCCCUAUCUGCCGUGGGCGCUGGAGAAUUGAGGGGGGCUGCUCCUAGUACGAGAGGACCGGAGUGGACGCAUCACUGGUGUUCGGGUUGUCAUGCCAAUGGCACUGCCCGGUAGCUAAAUGCGGAAGAGAUAAGUGCUGAAAGCAUCUAAGCACGAAACUUGCCCCGAGAUGAGUUCUCCCUGAGACUUUAAGUCUCCUGAAGGAACGUUAAAGACGAUGACGUUGAUAGGCCGGGUGUGUAAGCGCAGCGAUGCGUUGAGCUAACCGGUACUAAUGAACCGUGAGGCUUAACCUUACAACGCCGAAG